GUGCUAGCUUUGGCAGCACAUAUGCUAAAAUUUUAACUAUACAGAGAAGAUUAACACAGCCCCUGUGUGAGAAUAAUAUUCAAAUUCAUGCUACAUUCUAUAUUUAA